ensembl:snRNA U4 U4 spliceosomal RNA
AGCUUUGUGCAGUGGCAGUAUCAUAGCCAAUGAGGUUUAUCCGAGGCACAAUUAUUGUUAAUUGAAACAAAAUGGUUGUAUAAAUUCACAGUUCCACCAACAAUGCAUCAGUAUGCCUACCUUUUCACCAUCUCUUCAAUCAUCCAUUGAUUUUUUUGGUUGAGGAGAAUUUUAGAAAUAAAAGUUCCUUU